UACGUAGGGUGCGAGCGUUGUCCGGAAUUAUUGGGCGUAAAGGGCUCGUAGGCGGUUUGUCGCGUCGGGAGUGAAAACCCAGGGCUUAACUCUGGGCUUGCUUUCGAUACGGGCAGACUAGAGGUAUGCAGGGGAGAACGGAAUUCCGUGGUGUAGCGGUGAAAUGCGCAGAUAUCAGGAGGAACACCGGUGGCGAAGGCG
rnacentral:rRNA from 1 species